GCAUCAAAUUUGGUUGUUUUA
rnacentral:miRNA from 11 species